AGCGGAGUAGAGCAGUCUGGUAGCUUGCAAGGCUCAUAAUCUUGAGGUCAUGGGUUCAAAUCCCAUCUUCGCAU
rnacentral:tRNA from 1 species